rnacentral:rRNA from 1 species
AGAUUAAGUUAUUAAGGGCGCACGGUGGAUGCCUUGGCACUAGAAGCCGAUGAAGGACGUUACUAACGACGAUAUGCUUUGGGGAGCUGUAAGUAAGCUUUGAUCCAGAGAUUUCCGAAUGGGGAAACCCAGCAUGAGUUAUGUCAUGUUAUCGAUAUGUGAAUACAUAGCAUAUCAGAAGGCACACCCGGAGAACUGAAACAUCUUAGUACCCGGAGGAAGAGAAAGAAAAUUCGAUUCCCUUAGUAGCGGCGAGCGAAACGGGAAGAGCCCAAACCAACAAGCUUGCUUGUUGGGGUUGUAGGACACUCUAUACGGAGUUACAAAGGACGACAUUAGACGAAUCAUCUGGAAAGAUGAAUCAAAGAAGGUAAUAAUCCUGUAGUCGAAAAUGUUGUCUCUCUUGAGUGGAUCCUGAGUACGACGGAGCACGUGAAAUUCCGUCGGAAUCUGGGAGGACCAUCUCCUAAGGCUAAAUACUCUCUAGUGACCGAUAGUGAACCAGUACCGUGAGGGAAAGGUGAAAAGCACCCCGGAAGGGGAGUGAAAUAGAACCUGAAACCGUGUGCUUACAAGUAGUCAGAGCCCGUUAAUGGGUGAUGGCGUGCCUUUUGUAGAAUGAACCGGCGAGUUACGAUUUGAUGCAAGGUUAAGCAGUAAAUGUGGAGCCGUAGCGAAAGCGAGUCUGAAUAGGGCGUUUAGUAUUUGGUCGUAGACCCGAAACCAGGUGAUCUACCCUUGGUCAGGUUGAAGUUCAGGUAACACUGAAUGGAGGACCGAACCGACUUACGUUGAAAAGUGAGCGGAUGAACUGAGGGUAGCGGAGAAAUUCCAAUCGAACCUGGAGAUAGCUGGUUCUCUCCGAAAUAGCUUUAGGGCUAGCCUCAAGUGAUGAUUAUUGGAGGUAGAGCACUGUUUGGACGAGGGGCCCCUCUCGGGUUACCGAAUUCAGACAAACUCCGAAUGCCAAUUAAUUUAACUUGGGAGUCAGAACAUGGGUGAUAAGGUCCGUGUUCGAAAGGGAAACAGCCCAGACCACCAGCUAAGGUCCCAAAAUAUAUGUUAAGUGGAAAAGGAUGUGGCGUUGCCCAGACAACUAGGAUGUUGGCUUAGAAGCAGCCAUCAUUUAAAGAGUGCGUAAUAGCUCACUAGUCGAGUGACACUGCGCCGAAAAUGUACCGGGGCUAAACAUAUUACCGAAGCUGUGGAUUGUCCUUUGGACAAUGGUAGGAGAGCGUUCUAAGGGCGUUGAAGCAUGAUCGUAAGGACAUGUGGAGCGCUUAGAAGUGAGAAUGCCGGUGUGAGUAGCGAAAGACGGGUGAGAAUCCCGUCCACCGAUUGACUAAGGUUUCCAGAGGAAGGCUCGUCCGCUCUGGGUUAGUCGGGUCCUAAGCUGAGGCCGACAGGCGUAGGCGAUGGAUAACAGGUUGAUAUUCCUGUACCACCUAUAAUCGUUUUAAUCGAUGGGGGGACGCAGUAGGAUAGGCGAAGCGUGCGAUUGGAUUGCACGUCUAAGCAGUAAGGCUGAGUAUUAGGCAAAUCCGGUACUCGUUAAGGCUGAGCUGUGAUGGGGAGAAGACAUUGUGUCUUCGAGUCGUUGAUUUCACACUGCCGAGAAAAGCCUCUAGAUAGAAAAUAGGUGCCCGUACCGCAAACCGACACAGGUAGUCAAGAUGAGAAUUCUAAGGUGAGCGAGCGAACUCUCGUUAAGGAACUCGGCAAAAUGACCCCGUAACUUCGGGAGAAGGGGUGCUCUUUAGGGUUAACGCCCAGAAGAGCCGCAGUGAAUAGGCCCAAGCGACUGUUUAUCAAAAACACAGGUCUCUGCUAAACCGUAAGGUGAUGUAUAGGGGCUGACGCCUGCCCGGUGCUGGAAGGUUAAGAGGAGUGGUUAGCUUCUGCGAAGCUACGAAUCGAAGCCCCAGUAAACGGCGGCCGUAACUAUAACGGUCCUAAGGUAGCGAAAUUCCUUGUCGGGUAAGUUCCGACCCGCACGAAAGGCGUAACGAUUUGGGCACUGUCUCAACGAGAGACUCGGUGAAAUCAUAGUACCUGUGAAGAUGCAGGUUACCCGCGACAGGACGGAAAGACCCCGUGGAGCUUUACUGUAGCCUGAUAUUGAAAUUCGGCACAGCUUGUACAGGAUAGGUAGGAGCCUUUGAAACGUGAGCGCUAGCUUACGUGGAGGCGCUGGUGGGAUACUACCCUAGCUGUGUUGGCUUUCUAACCCGCACCACUUAUCGUGGUGGGAGACAGUGUCAGGCGGGCAGUUUGACUGGGGCGGUCGCCUCCUAAAAGGUAACGGAGGCGCUCAAAGGUUCCCUCAGAAUGGUUGGAAAUCAUUCAUAGAGUGUAAAGGCAUAAGGGAGCUUGACUGCGAGACCUACAAGUCGAGCAGGGUCGAAAGACGGACUUAGUGAUCCGGUGGUUCCGCAUGGAAGGGCCAUCGCUCAACGGAUAAAAGCUACCCCGGGGAUAACAGGCUUAUCUCCCCCAAGAGUUCACAUCGACGGGGAGGUUUGGCACCUCGAUGUCGGCUCAUCGCAUCCUGGGGCUGUAGUCGGUCCCAAGGGUUGGGCUGUUCGCCCAUUAAAGCGGUACGCGAGCUGGGUUCAGAACGUCGUGAGACAGUUCGGUCCCUAUCCGUCGUGGGCGUAGGAAAUUUGAGAGGAGCUGUCCUUAGUACGAGAGGACCGGGAUGGACAUACCUCUGGUGUACCAGUUGUCGUGCCAACGGCAUAGCUGGGUAGCUAUGUGUGGACGGGAUAAGUGCUGAAAGCAUCUAAGCAUGAAGCCCCCUCAAGAUGAGAUUUCCCAACUUCGGUUAUAAGAUCCCUCAAAGAUGAUGAGGUUAAUAGGUUCGAGGUGGAAGCAUGGUGACAUGUGGAGCUGACGAAUACUAAUCGAUCGAAGACUUAAUCAAAUU